CGUCACGUUUCUAAUUGUAUCUCUUUCUUUCUUUCUUUUUUCCACUUUAGUCCACUUUUUGACUCUCUUUCGUCGCUUCUUCCUGCGAACGAAAGAAGAGUUGGCAAGUCCCAUAUAGCGCCCCUGUCCCGACCCUGAAUUUUGAAGGUCGAAACUACGCAAGAACAGCUUCCCAAAAAUGAAGGCGGCGGCGAGCAGCGCGGGACAAGCGACGUCAGCCAUUACGUCAUCGUUUCCCGAAACGGGACCAAGGCCGGUGAAGGUCACACGCGCCGGUUGCCCACGUGAGUCACGAGCCGUGAGUGACGCGUCGUUUUUUACUGCCACCCGCCAGGUCUUUCCUCAUUUCGGAUCGCCAGGAACGAUUAAAGUGUGUGACGCACAACGUCGAACACGGCACC